rnacentral:lncRNA from 1 species
CUAAGAAGUCCACCCAACUCUUUGAAUUAAUAGUUACUGGAAAUACCUUUAAGAAACAUGUGUUAAACAGUGCCACUAAAGGUACAAGCAGAGGAGAGAAAUGGGGAGUGUUAUCCUUAAGUGCUUUCACAUGUUUGGUUAGAUAUUUUACAAGGAAACAGAGGUCUCUGCUACAUACACAGUGCCUCCUUCAUGACACAUGCAGGCUGGGACAGCUGUCUUCUAUAUCACAAAGGCAAAGGUUUCAGAAGCAUCUAAGUGCCCAUCAGUCUAAGAUAUGGCAGACUCCAUUUACACAGAUUUCAACAGGGUGAGCCACUGGCUGGUGUUGCAACUUGUAAAAUCCCCAUGAAGAAAAGGAGGUGUUCAAAACAAGAUCUUUGAACUGUGUGCUAAUAUCUGCCCCAGAUCUUGAAAAACGGGACAAAAUAACCACAAAUAAUUACUUUUUUUCUAUAUUGAACACUGAAAAAGACUCAGAUUGCUCAGCAGGGUUUGUGCUUUAUGCUGAUCAUAAAUGAUGCAGCCUGCCCAAAGAUAAAAUAAGCAUAUCACACACACAUUCAUGAUUCCUUAUAGUAAAUGAAGAUAAAAUCAAGGCUGUUAUGGG